CACCUAUAAAAAUAUAUAUAUAUAUAAAUACACUUAUACCCACUAAAAUAUAAAUAUACACAAAGACACACUAAUACACCUAUAAAAAUAUAUAUAUAUAUAAAUAUAAAUACACGUAUACCCACUAAAAUAUAGAUAUACACAAAGACACACUAAUACACCUAUAAAAAUGAAAAAAUAUAUAUAUAUAAAUACACUUAUACCCACUAAAAUAUAGAUAUACACAAAGACACACUAAUACACCUAUAAAAAUAAAAAUAUAUAUAUAUAAAUACACUUAUACCCCCUAAAAUAUAUAUAUAUAUAUAUAUAUAUAAUACAAAUAUAUAUACAUGUAAUAUAUACAUGAAUUUAUAUAUACGUAUGACCCUCAUUCAGCGUCCAGCCCAGCAGUCACUGGUAAGCUCAUCGUGUCAAACUGUACUUUACAUGUCAUUCAGCUGACGCCUUUUAAAGAGACAAAGACUGGUCAGUGAGGACCACAAACAAGACAAACAAGAUGACGAUACAAGCUCAUCAUCCGACGAGAGCAUCCCAACACUCGUCAGAAUAUCGUGGGCCGAAAAACGAAGCCUCACGCUCAAUGUAGCGUCCAUCUCAGCAGUCACCGGGAGCUGCAACAUCUCUGUGGAGGUCGUUGGCAAGAGAGGCGUCAAGAGGAAGGUCGCCACUGCUGAGGCAGGACCAAGCAGAAAGAGUCAAAGACUGAACAGCAAGGACCGGAUCAAAACCAACCACGAAGAGUUGGAGGCCAAAUAUGAGCAACUGGGCCUCCUCGGUGCAGGAGGAUGUGGAAAUGUGUACGCCGGCCUCCGCAGGGCCGACAACCUUCCCGUUGCCAUCAAACACAUCCUGAAUGAUAACGUCCACUGCACACAUACGGACGACGAAGGCAACACAAUUUCCAUAGAGAUCGCCAUCAUGUUGCAGCUGGCGGGCCGAAUCUGAGGGGGCAUCGCCAUACCUUACCCUGCUGGACUGGUACCAGUUGGAGGGGAAGCUGGUGAUGGUGAUCGAGAGGCCCAUCCCCGCUACGGAUUUAUUUGACCAUAUCAUGGCCAAAGGAGGCUCCGUGAAGGAAAAAGAAGCCAAGGUUAGAGACAGAGAAGACAAGUCUGCGCCGUUUUCUACCUCCCAUGCACUACUACACGUCAAAAUGCUGGUCCAGGUGAAGUACAGCCAACAGCAGAAGAAUGUAAAUGAGGAUGAGGACGAAGGACUGUUUGACUUUCUGCAAUUCCAUUAAAAAGUCAUGGAGAGAUUUGGCCUGCCACCUGAUGCAAAUGUUAUAUACAAGGAUGCAACAGGGACAGAAGUUGAUGGAGAAAUAUUCAGCGAACUCGUUGGACAAGGCAAUGUGGUCCUGACAGUUUUCUCGGAUCAGGAAUUCUCUGAUCUCUCCUUGUCUUCUGAGACGUCUGACUCAAGCUUCAGCUCAAGUGCAUCAACUAUAAUCCUAGAUGUUCCUAACAAGAGACAAAGAAUUGAGGAAACACGUGACGCUGUGUCUGCUAAACAGGCACUGCCCCACUAAAACAAUCAGAGAAGAUUAUGCACGUGGGAUAGUGAUGCUGUUCCCUUCCCUCAAGGAUCCAUACUCCAAGAAGGGCUAUCUCUCUCCUAUUUGACGAAGACACAUCCUCCAGGCUUCUUCAGAAAUGGGAUUUGGUCUUCAAGACAAAUGUCAUUAAAGAGGCUAAGCGACUCACCUCAACACCAGAGUUGAGUCGCUUGGUGCAGUCAGCAGAAAGUCCCCCAGGAAGUGAUCUUGAUGAGGCAACAACCUACGACCAAGAAAUGGCCUCCCUGUUGUUGCUGUUGCAUCUCCUUCCACCACCUCCAGGGGGACUGAAGUCUCCAAAAAUUAGUGCAUGUGAUGCAGUUGAAAGACUUGUUGUCUUUCACAAGUCAUGCUGCAGUUUGGAGGAGCAUCUCCGCAACCAGCAGGGUCGGCAGCCUUGCAAUCUUGCUCUUCUGACGCCCAACAGAGAGGAGGUACUCUGUACUCCUCUCUGUUGGGCGUCAGAAGAGCAAGAUUGACAGCUUCUACAUCACCAUGGAUAAGCGUCUCAUCCCAUGCAAGGCAAACCGCUCCCUCGGGGCAUGUGAUGAACUUUUCGAAGCACAUUUUGUGUUUAAGUAAAGCUUAAGCGAUAGUUCUGGAAGGAAGACUCCCCCUUUCACGCUGUCAUUUCAGGUCGGACCAGACGCAACCCUCCUCCACCCCAGGCACCUCCGGUCUAACAACAGGCAGCAUCGGCCACUACAACUUCCUGGUGUCACCACCACCACCCGUGUCUGGACUCUAGGGGGGGAAUUCUGGAGGAGCCGUACUGUGUCGCCUCCCCCGAUUAUCCUGUUCGAGGAUAGAGUCCAAAUCGCCAAAGACUAUAAUUCUGUUUCAUACGUAAUAAAGGGGUCUAUUUGCAGAACGAGUCUCUCCUGAUUGAAUUUGUCUUACGAUGUGGCACUUGUGAAUUUUUAUACAUUCCUGAAGACAGAAGUCUUUUUUCAAAUAAGUGAUGUACUUUUGGUUGAAGAUUACUUAUUUUUUUUGACAAACAAGCUAUUUACAGAGAAUUUUGAUGACCAUCAUCAUGCAUUCAGAGUAUUACGAAGUGCGGAAAGAUGUUUACUAAAAAUGUCUGAGCUUAAAUUUCGUAAACCGUUUGAUAUUCAAAGCUCAUACAACGUUUCGGAUGAAAGUUUGUACAUUAUACCUUCAUUCACAAUGUUUUAAUUCAACUGACUGCAAGGGAGAAAAGGAAUAAAUGUUUUUGAAAAUG